AUUAAUUCUUCGAGAAACCUUUGGAGGGCAAGUCUGGUGCCACCAGCCGCGGUAAUUCCAGCUCCAAUAGCAUAUAUUAAAGUUGUUGCAGUUAAAAAGCUCGUAGUUGAAUUUCUGUCUGCAUCAUGGCUAUCACAUUGUGGUUUGCUAUGUAUGCAGACAUAAUCUCUCGGCUGCUAACGCUGUCAAGAGACCUUUACCUUGAGAAAAUUAGAGUGUUUCAAGCAAGCUUUGCUAUGAAUACUACAGCAUGGAAUAAUACUAUAGGACUUUAGGCCUAUUUGUUGGUUUCAGGCCUGAAGUAAUGAUUAAUAGGGACAGUUGGGGGCAUUCGUAUUUAAA
rnacentral:rRNA from 1 species